rnacentral:rRNA from 2 species
GAUGAGUGGAGCUUGCUCCAUGAUUCAGCGGCGGACGGGUGAGUAAUGCCUAGGAAUCUGCCUGGUAGUGGGGGACAACGUUUCGAAAGGAACGCUAAUACCGCAUACGUCCUACGGGAGAAAGUGGGGGAUCUUCGGACCUCACGCUAUCAGAUGAGCCUAGGUCGGAUUAGCUAGUUGGUGAGGUAAAGGCUCACCAAGGCGACGAUCCGUAACUGGUCUGAGAGGAUGAUCAGUCACACUGGAACUGAGACACGGUCCAGACUCCUACGGGAGGCAGCAGUGGGGAAUAUUGGACAAUGGGCGAAAGCCUGAUCCAGCCAUGCCGCGUGUGUCAAGAAGGUCAUCGGAUUGUAAAGCAGUUUACGCUGGGAUGAAGGGCAGUCCUGUAAAG